rnacentral:rRNA from 1 species
GCUUAGCCUUAAACCUCCAUAGUUAGAACAACAAAACUACUCGCCAGAAUACUACAAGCAAUGGCUUGAAACUCAAAGGACUUGGCGGUGCUUCACACCCCCCUAGAGGAGCCUGUCCCAUAAUCGAUAAACCCCGAUCCACCCCACCCUCUCUUGCUCAGCCUAUAUACCGCCAUCUUCAGCAAACCCUGAUAAAGGUUACAAAGUGAGCGCAAAUGCCCCUUUUCGCAAAAACGUUAGGUCAAGGUGUAGCCUAUGAGACGGUAAAAGAUGGGCUACAUUUUCUACCUCAGAAAACCCUACGAUAACUCUUAUGAAAUCUAAGAGCCCAAGGAGGAUUUAGCAGUAAAUUAAGAGUAGAGUGCUUAAUUGAACUAGGCCAUAAAGCACGC